rnacentral:rRNA from 1 species
GAUGAACGCUGGCGGCGUGCCUAAUACAUGCAAGUCGAGCGAACGGACGAGAAGCUUGCUUCUCUGAUGUUAGCGGCGGACGGGUGAGUAACACGUGGAUAACCUACCUAUAAGACUGGGAUAACUUCGGGAAACCGGAGCUAAUACCGGAUAAUAUUUUGAACCGCAUGGUUCAAAAGUGAAAGACGGUCUUGCUGUCACUUAUAGAUGGAUCCGCGCUGCAUUAGCUAGUUGGUAAGGUAACGGCUUACCAAGGCAACGAUGCAUAGCCGACCUGAGAGGGUGAUCGGCCACACUGGAACUGAGACACGGUCCAGACUCCUACGGGAGGCAGCAGUAGGGAAUCUUCCGCAAUGGGCGAAAGCCUGACGGAGCAACGCCGCGUGAGUGAUGAAGGUCUUCGGAUCGUAAAACUCUGUUAUUAGGGAAGAACAUAUGUGUAAGUAACUGUGCACAUCUUGACGGUACCUAAUCAGAAAGCCACGGCUAACUACGUGCCAGCAGCCGCGGUAAUACGUAGGUGGCAAGCGUUAUCCGGAAUUAUUGGGCGUAAAGCGCGCGUAGGCGGUUUUUUAAGUCUGAUGUGAAAGCCCACGGCUCAACCGUGGAGGGUCAUUGGAAACUGGAAAACUUGAGUGCAGAAGAGGAAAGUGGAAUUCCAUGUGUAGCGGUGAAAUGCGCAGAGAUAUGGAGGAACACCAGUGGCGAAGGCGACUUUCUGGUCUGUAACUGACGCUGAUGUGCGAAAGCGUGGGGAUCAAACAGGAUUAGAUACCCUGGUAGUCCACGCCGUAAACGAUGAGUGCUAAGUGUUAGGGGGUUUCCGCCCCUUAGUGCUGCAGCUAACGCAUUAAGCACUCCGCCUGGGGAGUACGACCGCAAGGUUGAAACUCAAAGGAAUUGACGGGGACCCGCACAAGCGGUGGAGCAUGUGGUUUAAUUCGAAGCAACGCGAAGAACCUUACCAAAUCUUGACAUCCUUUGACAACUCUAGAGAUAGAGCCUUCCCCUUCGGGGGACAAAGUGACAGGUGGUGCAUGGUUGUCGUCAGCUCGUGUCGUGAGAUGUUGGGUUAAGUCCCGCAACGAGCGCAACCCUUAAGCUUAGUUGCCAUCAUUAAGUUGGGCACUCUAAGUUGACUGCCGGUGACAAACCGGAGGAAGGUGGGGAUGACGUCAAAUCAUCAUGCCCCUUAUGAUUUGGGCUACACACGUGCUACAAUGGACAAUACAAAGGGCAGCGAAACCGCGAGGUCAAGCAAAUCCCAUAAAGUUGUUCACAGUUCGGAUUGUAGUCUGCAACUCGACUACAUGAAGCUGGAAUCGCUAGUAAUCGUAGAUCAGCAUGCUACGGUGAAUACGUUCCCGGGUCU